AAAAUAUGACCAAGUUAAAGAGCUGGCCUAUGGAUUCAGAGUUCAGAAUGUCUACCAGAAAUCUUUGCUGUAGGACAGCUAUAGCUAUGCUCAGCAAGACCCAAGUAGCAGAAAGGCUGUCUUAAUUCUAUGAAAAAAAAGAAUACCAACAGUCAACAACCAAUGUGAUUAAUUUGGCCAAUGCAAGGAACACAUGAAAUCUUCAGUCCUAGUUUCCAACUUCUCCAAGAAUAACACCACUGGAAACUUGCAUCACUUUCCUUUGCUUUAGGCAAUGCUAGUGCACCAUACUGUAACGAUCUAUUAACAGAGUUUGACAAGGCCAACAGAAAUUAAUAAAGAGAAGAGUACAACCCAUCUCCUACUGGUCUGGAAGCGUAUUGACAUCCCAAGCUACUACUGUGAAAUGUCAUUGAGAAAUGUAUCGUGGUAGCAUGUUUUUCCCGAAAGGAAAAGUCAUCUACAACUCAGAUGCAAAGUGUUAUGUGUCUCCUUCCGUGCAAAAAAUUUCAAACCCUGUUCCACUCCACAAUAGCAGAAGAAUAUUGAGCUCCCAGAAGUGAUGCAGCAGCCAAAGGAAGCACAGAUGCAAGCCCUGAGCCUGUGAAUUACAGCGAGAACCAGCUGCAGUCACUAUUGUGAUGAACAGAUAAGGGAGGUGCAAUGUCUGCCUUACAAAUAAAGGCACUUUCUAAUGAUUACUUUAAGCAAAUGUUAAAUCAAGAAUUAAACCCCGGAGUGCCUGGUUGGCUCAAUGGG